UUAACCGGGGUGAAAGGUUGUGCAGUGUUGUCCUAACUGCGGACCUGCAUUUCCGUGUUCACCUGGCCUGUACCGUCUUCCCAGCUAGUGAUCCACUACGUUCCACUACAAUGCUACAGUCUGUCACCACUUGAAGAUAAUGUUUCUAAUGAAACUGAUACAAUAAAUUUCGUGACCGUGGCACAGCCACUGACUGGCUGGAUGCGGCAGUUUAUGCAGGCUCGUCAUGCGACGUAGUUCUCCGACGCCGCGGGACGCAGUACAAAGGACACAGUGGGCCGCUGACCUGAAUUAUUAACGAGAGUUAUGACAGUCGUAGAAUUGAUUGUCAACGCACCUUGUAUAUAUGGGUGACUGCACUUCUGUGGACUUGGCAGAAACAGCGCUACGAUGGAUAAAGGUCAGCGAUUGAAAAAACGGGCAGCGUAUGCUCAAAUAGUUCUGAUUGCUUUCGUCGUCGUCCUGUUACUACCGGGCGCAGCACUGGUUAUAACGGGAGCUUGGAUGAUUUUUCAAAUGUCUUGGGCGGAGGUUCUGACUCCUGGACGCAUUGCUAAAACCGAAGCCGUUCUAACCUGUGUUGGGGGUGCUUUGACAGUGAUUCUAGCUGCAAUAAUAGUACACGCACACUGGGAUCGCAAAUGGUUCAGGCAGGGAGUCACUUUGAGAGAGAUUGGAAUUCUUUUAGUCGUGAUUGUCAUGCUAGAAUUUGCAGUAGCCGCAACCUGCACAGCUCGUGAAAAUAUUACAAAGGGAGAACUGGGUAUUGAACUCAACAGAACUUUACAAGCCGUCAAACGUAAUGUUAACAGGGCUCCGAACACGGAGUGGACAUUGCUGCAAACCUCGCUGGAUUGCUGUGGGAUAUGGAACUUCACCGAUUGGGAUGAUGGAAAUGUUGGGAACAACUCAAAUACAAACAACUCCAUCCCAGAACCUUGCAGGUGCACGACCAAUGACAGGGACUGUUACAAAACACCAGAAGGCAAUCUCUGGACAACAAGACCUUGCCUGGGAGCGUACUUUGGAUUCUUACAGAAUCAGUUCAAUGUCGUCAGAAUAGUGAAUGCAGUAGCCAUCGUGGUGCAGGUAGGAUCUUUCCUGAUGUUUUUAUGUGAAGCGUUUCGGCUCCAUCAGGAGAGUAAGGUUGGCGUAUAUGUGGCAGACCCACCUGACAACCGACAAAGCGAUGAACGCACAGAACAAACUGUCGUCUGAACUGGAAUGAAAUCCAAGCAGAUGUUGGUCGCGAGUGCAGUUCCAAGAGAUUAUUUCUGUGACCGAAACAACAAGGAACCUGAAAGAAAACAAAGUCCUAGCAUGAAAGUUCAUCUGUGUUGGUAGAAGACAUUAUAGAAAUUUCUAAACUUUCUUUCCAACACUGAAUUGAUACAGGGACUUACCCUAACAAGGUCGACGGAGUUUGACCGAAAAUUUAGGGUAAGUCCCUGUAUUAAUUCAGUGUUGGAAAGAAAGUUUAGAAAUUUCUAUAAUGAAAACAAAGUCCGUUUUAUUUUGUGUACAUUGUUCCAGUGCCUAUGUUGGUGGCUGUUACUAACUGAAUUUUCAUAUGCUAGACAAAAAAAAAAAUCACAAGCAAGGAAUGGUCAUGUUGGUAAUCUCCAACAGAUCCCACAGGCAUAGAUAGUACAUGUAUCAUACGCUGGCAAGGGCGUGUAGCCGGGACAGGAGUGUUCAUUGGCCACCCAGGUUGGCUAAUGGGCACUCCUUAUGCCACCGACAAAUCUGCCCGGUUCCAUGGAAAUGGUGUCUUUUUAAGAUGAACUGAAACAUUUUCAUGUUGCAACGUUGAGCUUUAAUUUGUAUGCUUUUGAAAGCUAAGACAGCAUUUUAUGUUACGUUUUCAAAGGCCACAAUAUCAAAUCAAUAUGGCCUUAUUAUAAGGUACAUCAUGAAGUUGUCAUUCAUCAACUGGCAGGCUGCAAUGCCGCCACAUGUACAGCCUCAAUAUUGGUUGUUUUACCCAGGAACUCAGUCCUACAAGUUUGAUGUGUUCAUAAUUAGGUGACUGUUUUAUAUUCAUGUAUAAUGUUCCACCAGUGAAUCUACAAGCAUCUAAUUCUAACAUGUUUAACAAUAUCUAGUACAAUGUACAUGUACUAUGCAUGUGACUAUAAAAACUUCACUAGCUUCAAAAUAACACAGUAGUCCUGUCUUUAUUUUCACAUCUUCACUUUAAGACACAUUUUACACUCUGGAAUGCACAAUUAGUACUAAGAGCAGAGACAUGAUCAUCAUCUUUGUUAACUGAACCUCGGAUAAUACACAAGGUUGUAAAUCAUUGAAUCCAAUCAUUCUAAAAAAAAGGCAUUACUGGUAUGUACUCAUAGGGUACAAAUACCUCACAACAUGACAAAAAUCUUGGGAAAGUCAAAGACAUCACUAUUUAGUUUUAACAUGCACAACCGAACAGGGCUCAAAAUACUUGACUCUUGUUUCCAUUUUCAGCAAUAUUUGUUAUACAUACACAUAAAUACACUGUAUAUGUAAAUAUACAUAAUACAUUGUAGUAGUAUCUACUCUGUAUUCUUUUGGCUUGCCAACUUACAAGUAUCUUUAUUCAUUUUCUUAAAUCUCAGAUUUGUUCAUGAACAUUGCAUGUUAAUAUUUCAAGCCCUGCUCUUGCACUUUUCACAUGGAGGCUCUACUGGCAUGCCCAUUCAAGCAAUGCCCAACAGUCACAGUACUGACUCACAGAUUACUUUUCCACAUGUCACAAUGGUUCCUUCUCCCAACAAGACUUAAAAAUCAUCAGUAUUCAAGCUGGCAUCUUUUCACACACAAAAAAGAA